rnacentral:piRNA from 1 species
UACAAAGACUACAAGAUCCACUGGUGGGAG